rnacentral:rRNA from 1 species
AGAGUUUGAUCCUGGCUCAGGAUGAACGCUGGCGGCGUGCCUAACACAUGCAAGUCGAACGGGGUUAUUUUGAUGAAGUCUUCGGAUGGAAUUGAGAUAACCUAGUGGCGGACGGGUGAGUAACGCGUGGGCAACCUGCCCCAUACAGGGGGAUAACAGCCGGAAACGGCUGCUAAAACCGCAUAAGCGCACACCGGCGCAUGCCGGAGUGUGAAAAUGUGUAUCGAAAGAUAUGCAGGUAUGGGAUGGGCCCGCGUCUGAUUAGCUGGUUGGUGAGGUAACGGCCCACCAAGGCGACGAUCAGUAGCCGGCUUGAGAGAGUGACCGGCCACAUUGGGACUGAGACACGGCCCAAACUCCUACGGGAGGCAGCAGUGGGGAAUAUUGCACAAUGGGGGAAACCCUGAUGCAGCGACGCCGCGUGAGUGAAGAAGUACUUCGGUACGUAAAGCUCUAUCAGCAGGA